UGCGGCCUUAGAUCAGGCGCGCAACCAUCCUGGCAGCCCCCUGGCGUCCUCCACGUAGUGGGUUCAGCUGAUGUGGCGCAAGUCGCCUGGGCUGGUGUUACUUUGCCUGGUGAAAAUCUAACCUGGAUUGGAUUGGGGAGAUAACUCAUUUAUGGGUGGAAGCAAAAAAUUUAGGCCGGGUUACUUUGCCUAUGUGGAUCCAACCUGGGUUGGAUUUUUUUCCCACCGGUGGAUUUGCUCUAAUAUCCUUUCUAAUCCCACUCACUCUCACCCCGCUCUAAUUUCUCCCCGAAAGAAAAAAAGAGAACAAAAAUUAUUGAUACUCAAGUCAAGGGUUUUGGCUUCCAGAUCUGGUAGCCGUCACUGGAUCUCGAUCAUCUGCCUCUUCUAAUGGAUCAAAUGCCCUCAAGUCUGUUUCAGAUUGAAUUUUCCUUAUCUGUCCAAGUCAUCGAUUUAGCCUGCGAUCUCAACUAAUUUUUGAUCCUUCCUCCUCACACCGGGAAUCUAAUCUGUUUGGGUGUCAGAUGGCUACAAUUCUUUGCUGAUGAGGUAGCAUGGCAUCCGACAUGGAUGUUGCAGUUAGGGAAAAUGAUUUAUAUGAGAGCAAGGAAAAGCUAUAGCAUAUCACAGCUGGUCUCACUAUUUUCACUGGGCAAAAGAUUCAAGACCUUAGUUCGUUGCCGCAAAUGCUAUUUAUAUUCUUGGACAAGGCCAGAGUAGCAGCUUAUACUUUGUGACAUUGACUACGUAUCUUCGCCUUUGGCGGAAUCUAAUGAAUAUCAAGCACCUCUUUUGGAUCGACAGCCAAUGGAUAUCGAGUUCCCAAAGAGUUUUCUAAAGUGGUGAUGCAAAGAGCUAUUGCUGGAAUGAGACUUUUAAUGAUUUCAUGCUUAGCAAGACCUGUUGUUACUAGUACUUGACAGUUUUCUUGCUGGACAGUUUCUUCCAGGUAAGAUAAUCAUAUAACCAUUUCCUUAUGCUUGUAUGUUUAGAAUUUAUAUUGUUGCACAAGAAAACAUUUUAGUUGAUUUUUCAUAUUAUUAUGACUACAGCAAGCUUCCUCUAAGGGAUCCCUUUUUUGGGGUUAUAUGAGGGAUUAAGGAUUACACCAACUUUUCGAUCACCAUUUCCAAUCUUUACCGUUCAAUCUCUUCAUAUAUAUGAGUGGAUCAUUUCUGGAAAUUUUCAUCCCAAUUGGUGAUCGUUAAGGCUUUGAACUAAUUUAAAUCAAUAGACGGUUCAAAUCUGCCAGAUUUGAACCGUUCGUGCAAAUCGCAGUUUUGAGCACCAAAAGUGAUAGUGUCUUAUUUAAGUAAGCCACGCCAGCAAAGCCUACCAUUGAGAAAUUAGUGGCCAACGGGGCGGCUAUUGCUUUUGCACACCAAUAAUUUUUGUCUUUUCCAUCAAUCCACACCAUUGACAAUGGUGUUCUUAGCUCACUUUUGUGGUAGUGAUUCAAUGGUCAUCUACCAUCAUAUUCUCCCCCUGCAGUUAUAGUCCACCAGAAAAAACCCUAUGGUCAUGAAUGUGCAAUUCUUUACAGCAUCCUCAGAUAUUCACC